UCAGAACUCGCAUGUCUACAGAAUGUCGUCCGUGGCCUCGGCCAUCCUAAACCUAGUACAACUUUCAGCAAUGGAUCUCUUGGCUCUCGCAUCGAUGAAAGACGCAGCGAAUCGCGAUAAGUAAUGUGAAUUGCAGAUUUUCCGUGAAUCAUCGAAUCUUUGAACGCACCUUGGGCUCCUCGGUAUUCCGAGGAGCAUGCCUGUUUGAGUGUCAUCGAAAUAUCAAAUCGAAGCUUUCGACCCCCGUCGGAGCUAGGUUUGGACCAUGGGAGUCUGCGGGCGGGUCCCCUCCUGUCGGGAGGGGGACCUUCGGCUCUCCUCAAAAGCAUUACCGGCGUGUGCGAGACUCGCACGGUACGGCCUCUUCGACGUCAUAAUGACCGUCAUGGGCUGUAAGUGUGUGGAUCGCGUCACUUUCAAAAUCUGCGAGCCCGUCUCGGACGGGCCGCGCGUCAUCGAUGUUUGACCUCAAAUCAGGUAGGACUACCCGCUGAACUUAAGCAUAUCAA
rnacentral:misc_RNA from 1 species